rnacentral:snRNA from 1 species
UCUACUUAUUAAAGCGAUACAGCU